rnacentral:rRNA from 1 species
AGGAUGAACGCUGGCGGCGUGCUUAACGCAUGCAAGUCGAACGAUGAAGGCUGGAGCUUGCUCUGGCUGGAUUAGUGGCGAACGGGUGAGUAACACGUGAGUAACCUGCCCCAGACUCUGGGAUAAGCGCUGGAAACGGCGUCUAAUACCGGAUACGAG